rnacentral:other from 1 species
CAGCACGCGCACGCACGUGAAUUGUGGGUUAUGCUGGCGAGGCAGCGCUUGAGGCAACUCCGGAUGCACUGCGCACCCUUACGGCGAGUUCGCCUCACUCCAAGCCGUAAAUCAUCCAUGUUUCAAAGGUUACGUGUUAUGUCGGAUCGUCAGAGCGGUACAGUCAAGUGGUUCAACGAUGCCAAGGGCUUCGGCUUCAUCAGCCCGGAAAGUGGUGACGACUUGUUCGUCCACUUCCGUGCCAUCCAGGGCAACGGCUUCAAGUCGCUGCAGGAAGGCCAGAAGGUCACCUUCGUCGUCGUCAAGGGCCCGAAGGGCCUGCAGGCCGACCAGGUGCAGGUGGCGUAAGCCUCCUUCCAAGGUGUUUUGGAGAAGCCCGCUUCGGCGGGCUUUUUCAU